rnacentral:ribozyme from 13 species
AAAAGGAGAAGAUGGGAAAAAUAAUAACGAGAAGUAGUAGAAGGGGAUGGAGCGCUUUGGUUUUUCUUUUCUCUCUUUUUUUCCUUCCGAGCUUGGUUCUUUCUUUCUCUCUUUGGAAUGAGGAAGUUGGGGAAGAAAGAGAGGAGGUUCAAGAAAGGGAGUUGGUCAUGGUUGUUGUCUUGAGUGGUCUUUCUCAUUCUCUCCCUUUUCACCCGAAAAAUUUGAAACAAGAAGAAAUAA